GAAACGCGAUAAGUAAUGUGAAUUGCAGAAUUCAGUGAAUCAUCGAAUCUUUGAACGCACAUUGCGCCCGCCAGUAUUCUGGCGGGCAUGCCUGUUCGAGCGUCAUUACAACCCUCAGGCCCCCGGGCCUGGCGUUGGGGAUCGGCGGAAGCCCCCUGCGGGCACAACGCCGUCCCCCAAAUACAGUGGCGGUCCCGCCGCAGCUUCCAUUGCGUAGUAGCUAACACCUCGCAACUGGAGAGCGGCGCGGCCACGCCGUAAAACACCCAACUUCUGAAUGUUGACCUCGAAUCAGGUAGGAAUACCCGCUGAACUUAAGC
rnacentral:misc_RNA from 1 species